AUGGAGAUAAGAUCAAGGGAUCCAAGAGCUGAGUUGACUGGUACCUACCGGUGGCCCCUCAAUUAUAUGGUGUGUGCCCCCCUGUGCGGUUGUUGGAGAGAAGGAAUCCAAGAGCUACUGAUAAGUGUACCUACCGGCCAAAUUGAAAACCAGAAAUCGCACAGCCAGGAAGGAAUUUCUGUGUGGAAUGUAUCACCUAUGUUAUUGCAAGAAAAUUCUGAAGAGGCGCUCCUGCAUCAAUUCUUUUUCCUGAAGCAGAGGCCCAAGCAAAAACUCAGUUCUCGCCAAACAAAUAUCGGUUUUAUCAAUGGCUGCGGUUGA
rnacentral:rRNA from 1 species